ensembl:lncRNA
CGAGGCGUAACCAGGGGCGGGGUUCCCAGGACGGCCAGGUGGGCGGAAUCUAGGCGUUUUCCCCGCCCCGCCCCCUGAGGCCUGACACAUGCGCCCGAAAGCUUCUGGUGGAACGAGGUGUGGAUUGUGUGAUGACCCUGACCGCCAACUUCCGGUUCCUAGGGAUGCGCAUCCGGGUCACACUAACGCCGCCGUUUCCUCCAGCCGCUUGGUAUUCCUGUGUGUUUGGACCAGUCCCCAUGUCCUACUGUGGGGCCUCUGCAGCCUUUGGGGCGGCCCACCUCCUCGUUGUGCUCACCCUGCUCCAACUGCGAAACUGAGCCUCUCUCAAGGUUCCUGGGUCUGGUUCCCCAACUUUCUUCACCCUUGACGCCUAGCUCCUCCCGGGACGAUUCUUAACUUUGCUAUAGGUUCAGUUCAGUUCAGUCGCUCAGUCUUGUCCGACUCUUUGCAAGCCCACGGACUGCAGCACGCCAGGCCUCCCUGACCAUCCACACCUCCCGGAGUUUACUCAGACUGAUGUCCAUUGAUUCAGUGAUGCCAUCCAACCAUCUCAUCCUCUGUUGUCCCCUUAGGAAGGAGUGAUUAGAUAACACUGAAAAAUAAAUGUUCUUGAGAGUGAGUUCUAUAGCUUUUGCUUAUCUGUCGUAUUGGUGUGGUAUUUAAUAGCUAGACGAACUGAAACUAUCUCAUUUCUGUGUAUUUCCUGUUAGUAUAUAUUUAGCUCAUUUCUGUGUAUCUCCUGUUAUAUAUUUAUUCAGUGUUGGUACCUCUCAUGCUGUGAAAUUGUUGUUUAUUUGGAAUAAUUAUGAUAAACUAUUGAUUAUUACCCAGAUGGUUUAUUUUC